UUUUGACCUCGGAUCAGGUAGGGAUACCCGCUGAACUUAAGCAUAUCA
rnacentral:rRNA from 9 species